rnacentral:rRNA from 1 species
AUGCCCAAAGGAUCCUUGGAUAGGUGGAUCUAUUGUCGACCUGACGAUGAUGCUCCUCCUCUAGAUUGGAGCACACGAUGCAAGAUAAUCACUAACAUAGCUAAGGGUCUCUCUUAUCUUCAUGAGGAAUGCGUGAAGAGAAUUGCUCAUUUGGAUGUCAAGCCACAAAACAUCCUCAUAGAUGACAACUUCAAUGCCAAAAUUUCUGAUUUUGGCCUAUGUAAGCUCAUUGAUAGGGAUAUGAGCCAAGUGGUUACUAGAAUGAGAGGGACACCUGGAUACUUAGCUCCUGAAUGGUUGACAUCACAAAUCAUAGAGAAGGCUGACGUUUAUAGCUUUGGCAUUGUGGUCAUGGAAAUCAUCAGUGGAAGAAAGAACCUCGACACUUCCUAG